CCGAAGGAAACAAAGAAUGGUCCACCGAAAGCACGAGGCAUGAGUUUGCCAUACUUGAUAAGGAAGAGAAUAUAUGAAGCUAGGCCAAAGUUAGGGACCGACACUGCUGCUAGCUCAUGUGGAACGGGCAACAAACCAAACCAGAAGUUGGUCCGAUGUAUCCGC